ACUCACUCCCCUGUGCCUCAUGGGCUCCGUUUGCUCUGUAGGAGGACUGCGAGUUCUUUCUCACUGUCCAGCGGUUUAUUGUGCUGCCCAUGGAAAGGCAGAGGUUGGAGUCAUCGGAUGGGAACCGGGAGCCCUCAGUGCUACAGAAGAUAAAGGAGCUGUGGCUGAGGAGCCUCUCCUUGAAGAGUGACCCCAGCUCAGGUAAAGGGUUGUGGAGGGGCAUGUAAAGCUGCGUCUGCCUGGGGGUGAGCAGAGUGGGGGGCUCAUGGCUCUUCUGAGCUGGG